CGUGAAUUCAUCUCCGGGGGUAGAGCACUGUUUCGGCUAGGGGGCCAUCCCGGCUUACCAACCCGAUGCAAACUGCGAAUACCGGAGAAUGUUAUCACGGGAGACACACGGCGGGUGCUAACGUCCGUCGUGAAGAGGGAAACAACCCAGACCGCCAGCUAAGGUCCCAAAGUCAUGGUUAAGUGGGAAACGAUGUGGGAAGGCCCAGACAGCCAGGAUGUUGGCUUAGAAGCAGCCAUCAUUUAAAGAAAGCGUAAUAGCUCACUGGUCGAGUCGGCCUGCGCGGAAGAUGUAACGGGGCUAAACCAUGCACCGAAGCUGCGGCAGCGACGCUGAUGCGUUGUUGGGUAGGGGAGCGUUCUGUAAGCCUGUGAAGGUGGCCUGUGAGGGUUGCUGGAGGUAUCAGAAGUGCGAAUGCUGACAUAAGUAACGAUAAAGCGGGUGAAAAGCCCGCUCGCCGGAAGACCAAGGGUUCCUGUCCAACGUUAAUCGGGGCAGGGUGAGUCGACCCCUAAGGCGAGGCCGAAAGGCGUAGUCGAUGGGAAACGGGUUAAUAUUCCCGUACUUGGUGUUACUGCGAAGGGGGGACGGAGAAGGCUAUGUUGGCCGGGCGACGGUUGUCCCGGUUUAAGCGUGUAGGUGUGUGUUCCAGGUAAAUCCGGUUCACUUUAACACUGAGGCGUGAUGACGAGGCACUACGGUGCUGAAGCAACAAAUGCCCUGCUUCCAGGAAAAGCCUCUAAGCAUCAGGUAACAUCAAAUCGUACCCCAAACCGACACAGGUGGUCAGGUAGAGAAUACCAAGGCGCUUGAGAGAACUCGGGUGAAGGAACUAGGCAAAAUGGUGCCGUAACU
rnacentral:rRNA from 1 species